rnacentral:misc_RNA from 1 species
AAGUCGUAACAAGGUCUCCGUAGGUGAACCUGCGGAGGGAUCAUUACUGAGUGAGGGCCUUCUGGUCCGACCUCCAACCCCAUGUUAUCCGACACUGUUGCCUCCGGGGCGACCCGGCCUUCGGGCGUCGGGGCCCCGGGUGGACCAUUCAAACACUGCAUCUUUGCGUCGGAGUACACGAUUGAAUCAAUCAAAACUUUCAACAACGGAUCUCUUGGUUCUG